rnacentral:rRNA from 1 species
CGUGCAGGCGGUUUCGUAAGUCGGACGUGAAAGCUCCUGGCUUAACUGGGAGAGGCCGUUCGAGACUGCGAGACUUGAGGUCGGGAGAGGGACGUGGAAUUCCCGGUGUAGUGGUGGAAUGCGUAGAUAUCGGGAGGAACACCAGUGGCGAAGGCGGCGUCCUGGCCCGUACCUGACGCUAAGACGCGAAAGCGUGGGUAGCGAACG